CUGCCAAUGAGACAGUGUUACCCAAUAGAAGGAGUGAACAAAAUGACAUGAGUGCAUUAGAAUACAAAGGAGGAUAUUUAAAUUUCCAUACAAAGAAGAAGACCAGCAAACAAGAUCGGAGAGAUGCCACAGAGGAAUCAGACCAGAGACACAGCCCAGCUGAUCGACUGCAUUUAACAGAGGAUCAACCAGUUGACUUUGAAGGACUGUGCCUCACAAUUAAGAAUCUGAUUUCAUCUGAAAGCUUUUUUAUCCAGACAACAGAAGUGAACUUGAUCGGUGAACAGCUGAUAGCUCCAAGAUUCAGGCAUCAGGAAGUCCUGACUCAAACUCAUUUGCGUCUCCGGUUUUCCCUCAACUCUUCAGCCCCUGGAAACCACUACCUUUGGGGACAAAGAACAACAAAGAUCCAGUUUAACCAUCAAGGUUUGGAGCAUCAGUACAUGCCACUUAAAGGAAGAAAACUGAAGAUGAAGUCGUAUUCCCUUCAAGAAACCACUCGUUGUCACCAGAAGAAUUCUUCUCCAUCAGGUUCAUGGAUGAGUCUCCAUCUUCAAAAGCCUCUUUAAAUCCACUAGUUUCAGCAUCAGGGAAAGACAGGUUGAGUUGAUUGAUUCAUUACUAUUUUUGUGAUAAUUCAUUGUAUUGCUGGAUUUAAGCUGUUACUGACUCCCGCCAAAGCGUUACUAAUUAAAGCAAGCAUAUAAAAUUCUA